GGCGUUAUAGUGUAGUGGUUAUCACUCGGGAUUUUGAUCGUCAGGUCCAUUCUCCUUGUUGAAUUUCCCGGAACCCAGGUUCGAACCCUGGUAACGCCU
rfam:Ceriporiopsis subvermispora B unplaced genomic scaffold CERSTscaffold_17, whole genome shotgun sequence.